CAGCCACAUUGGGACUGAGACACGGCCCAAACUCCUACGGGAGGCAGCAGUGGGGAAUCUUGCGCAAUGGGCGAAAGCCUGACGCAGCCAUGCCGCGUGAAUGAUGAAGGUCUUAGGAUUGUAAAAUUCUUUCACCGGGGACGAUAAUGACGGUACCCGGAGAAGAAGCCCCGGCUAACUUCGUGCCAGCAGCCNCGGUAAUACGAAGGGGGCUAGCGUUGCUCGGAAUUACUGGGCGUAAAGGGAGCGUAGGCGGACAUUUAAGUCAGGGGUGAAAUCCCGGGGCUCAACCUCGGAACUGCACUCGAAACUACUUUUCUUGAGUGCCGGAGAGGAAAGCGGAAUACCUGGUGUAGAGGUGAAAUUCGUAGAUAUCAGGUGGAACACCAGUGGCGAAGGCGGCUUUCUGGACGGUAACUGACGCUGAGACGCGAAAGCGUGGGGAGCAAACAGGAUUAG
rnacentral:rRNA from 1 species